rnacentral:lncRNA from 1 species
CUAUCCUUAAAUAUGAAGUAAAAGUCACCAACUAACUCAUGUAGUUUCCGUUCAGCUCUUGGGACAGUGUCCAUCUGCCACAGUGGGAGCAGAUUGCUACACCUGAUCUGGAGAACACCUCAAAGUCUCUACCAGACCUGGGAGUGCCUCUGUUGCCCCAGUUUUUGCAUUUAUUAGAGGGGGAGAAUUGGUGCAAUUAGGACUGAAGCGCAGCCACUCCCUAUAACUAGCAGUUACUAACUUGUGCUGAGGUAUUACAGAGAACACCCAAGGACUGCAGCCAUUUGUGCUUGCCUGUAUGCUGUUAUUCACUGAUGUAGUGCUUGCUUCCCCCUCUGCCUGACAUGCUGAUGAUGAGGGUCAUGAAAGAAUCAGCUGACUAAGAUCUGGCAAAGACUAUGGAUCGAGGAAUUUGAAGUCCUAAUUCAUUGCUCAGAUCUGAACUAUCAUCUUCACCCACGUCCUAAGUUAUUAUAUCAAGAAGUAAGACCAAGGUAAUUCUUAAGUUUUCCAAUAUAUUCAUCUGUCACCAGAGCUCCACGUGAAGUCCUCUGCUGUUCCUUCAUCUGACCGGCAGUGCGACAGAAAGGCCUGGAGCUGGUCGGGGCCAACCCCAGGCCUGAGUGCUGGGCGCGUGAGCUAUCCCUGCAAGGCUGGCAGAUUGUCGAUAAAUGCAGUAAACAACAGGCUGCUUUCUUUCAGAACAAGUUAUAUGAAGUCGUCAUCCAUUUGGCGAUACAUAUUUGUAUCUAAGCCCAUCCUUUCAAGCUCCUCUCACUUGACUGAUCAUUUCUUGGUAUCCCAGGAGAA